UACGUAGGGUGCAAGCGUUGUCCGGAAUUAUUGGGCGUAAAGAGCUCGUAGGCGGCCUGUUGCGUCGGCUGUGAAAACCCGGGGCUCAACUCCGGGCCUGCAGCCGAUACGGGCAGACUAGAGUUCGGCAGGGGAGAGUGGAAUUCCUGGUGUAGCGGUGAAAUGCGCAGAUAUCAGGAGGAACACCGGUGGCGAAGGCGGGUCUCUGGGCCGAUACUGACGCUGAGGAGCGAAAGCGUGGGGAGCGAACAGG
rnacentral:rRNA from 1 species